UUCACGUAUUCAGCAUAGGCACCUGGAUGGCGGGCGCCGAUGACGGUUAGUUUUUCACACUGUGAUGGCUCGCCCUUUCUGCAGCUUUCGCAUUUACCGCA
rnacentral:antisense_RNA from 1 species